rnacentral:siRNA from 1 species
CCAACCAAUGAAAGAGUCCCUCA